GAUAAACGCUGGCGGCGUGCAUAACACAUGCAAGUCGAACGAUGAAACUUAGAUGAUUUCUUCGGAAUGAACUUAAGCGGAUUAGUGGCGAACGGGUGAGUAACACGUGAGUAACCUGCCUUACACAAGGGGAUAGCCUUUGGAAACGAAGAAUAAUACCCUAUGACGUCAAUUUAUCGCAUGAUAGAAUGACCAAAGAUUUAUCGGUGUAAGAUGGACUUGCGUCUGAUUAGCUAGUUGGUGAGAUAAAGGCCCACCAAGGCAACGAUCAGUAGCCGGCUUGAGAGAGUGUACGGCCACAUUGGGACUGAGACACGGCCCAAACUCCUACGGGAGGCAGCAGUGGGGAAUUUUGCACAAUGGGGGAAACCCUGAUGCAGCGACGCCGCGUGAUUUAGAAGGCCUUCGGGUUGUAAAAAUCUUUUUUAUGGGAUGAAAAUGACAGUACCAUAAGAAUAAGGUCCGGCUAAAUACGUGCCAGCAGCCGCGGUAAUACGUAUGGACCGAGCGUUGUCCGGAAUCAUUGGGCGUAAAGGGUACGUAGGCGGCCCAGUAAGUUAGAAGUGAAAUAAUAUAGCUCAACUAUAUAAAGCUUUUAAAACUGCUGGGCUUGAGAGAUGGAAGGGAAAGUGGAAUUCCUAGUGUAGCGGUGAAAUGCGCAGAUAUUAGGAAGAAUACCGGUGGCGAAGGCGACUUUCUGGUCAUCAUCUGACGCUGAGGUACGAAAGCGUGGGUAGCAAACAGG
rnacentral:rRNA from 1 species